rnacentral:rRNA from 1 species
GUCCAUGGUCUAUGCCACCCUGAACAAGCCCGAUGUCUGAUCUCCAUAGCUAAGCAGGGUCGGGCCUGGUUCGUACUUGGAUGGGAGACCACCUAGGAAGAUCAGGUGCUGUAGGCA